UACGUAGGGUGCAAGCGUUGUCCGGAAUUAUUGGGCGUAAAGAGCUUGUAGGCGGUUUGUCGCGUCUGCUGUGAAAAUUUCGGGGGCUCAACCCCCGAACUUGCAGUGGGUACGGGCAGACUAGAGUGUGGUAGGGAGACUGGAAAUUCCUGGUGUAGCGGUGAAAAUGCGUAGAUAUCGGGGAGGAACACCAGUGGCGAAGGCGAUCUUCUGGACGGAUACUGACGCUGAGGCGCGAAAAGCUAGGGGAGCAAACGGGG
rnacentral:rRNA from 1 species